UAGUCGGUACAUGCCACGAUGCCAACCAACAGUUUUCCUCCAAAAUCCCCACUUCUGCCUAAAGUUUCAAAUCUACAUUUAAGGGCCAUAAAUUCUCUUUUACAAUUCUACACUUCAAAUUCAUUGUCCAUUAUUGUUAUAUAUUGGUGCGUUUAUGCAGCUGUAAUCUUUGUUCACUAAAUCCACAUACUACUUUUUCUAACAAUUUUGAAAGUUUCCGUUGGCUUAGAUAUUCUCGCCCUAACCUUGUUCUUUUCAUAAGGGUUGACAUCUCUAUAUAGAAUGAGCAAAAGAAAGAGUAGAGAAUCGGAAUCGAGGCCACCAUCACCAGCUGAGGUAUCAUCAUGUUCAUCUUCAUGUUCAAAAACUUAUUCAUCAAAGAUGAGCGUUCACGAGGGAGCCAUGUCGGCUAAAGAAGAUAAUGAGCAAUAUGAAAAAGCAGUUACAAAGGAAAUGGUUCUUGUUGGUUGUCCUAGAUGUUUCAUGUAUGUUAUGUCAUCAGAAGUGGAACCAAAGUGCCCCAAGUGUAACACUUCGGUAUUUCUUGACCUUUUCACAUAGGAAGAUUAGAUGUAGGAAAUUAGGAGAAUCAAAAGAAUAUUAUUGAGCUGUCGUGUGUACGUUAUUACGAUCCAAAAAGCAUAUGUGGUUACUCUAUUUUUAUUAUAAACUAGUGUUGGUUCCAAUCAUCCUACUUCUUGAGUAAGAGUGUGUUUCUAAGUUUGUUUUUUGAGAUGUAUAAAUUUCAAUUAAUGUGGA